rnacentral:rRNA from 1 species
GACGAACGCUGGCGGCGUGCUUAACACAUGCAAGUCGAACGGAAAGGCCCUGCUUGCCGGGUACUCGAGUGGCGAACGGGUGAGUAACACGUGGGUGAUCUGCCCUGCACUUCGGGAUAAGCCUGAGAAACUGGGUCUAAUACCGGAUAGGAGCCAUUUUUAGUGUGAUGGUUGGAAAGUUUUUUCGGUGUAGGAUGAGCUCGCGGCCUAUCAGCUUGUUGGUGGGGUAAUGGCCUACCAAGGCGGCGACGGGUAGCCGGCCUGAGAGGGUGGACGGCCACAUUGGGACUGAGAUACGGCCCAGACUCCUACGGGAGGCAGCAGUGGGGAAUAUUGCACAAUGGGCGCAAGCCUGAUGCAGCGACGCCGCGUGGGGGAUGACGGCCUUCGGGUUGUAAACUCCUUUCGCUAGGGACGAAGCUUUUUGUGACGGUACCUAGAUAAGAAGCACCGGCUAACUACGUG